rnacentral:rRNA from 1 species
AACGAACGCUGGCGGCGUGCCUAACACAUGCAAGUCGAACGAGACCUUCGGGUCUAGGGGCGCACGGGUGCGGAACGCGGGGGAAUCAGCCCUUCGGUUGGGAAUAACUGAGAGAAAUAUAAGCUAAUACCUUAUAAUGUAUUCGGACCAAAGAUUUAUCGCCGAGGGCUGGGCCCGCGUAGGAUUAGGUGGUUGGUGGGGUAAUGGCCGACCAAGCCGACGAUCCUUGGCUGGUCGGAGAGGAUGAUCUUCCACGCUGGGACUGCGACACGGCCCAGACUGCGACGCGAGGCAGCAGUGUGGUAUAUUAGAGAAUGGGCGAUAGUCUGAUCCAGCCGUGCCGCGUGAGAGAUGAAUGCGGUAGGGUUGCACAGCCGUUUUACCCGGGAUGAGAAUGACAGUACCGGGAGAAUAAGCUCCGGCUAACUCCGUG